rnacentral:lncRNA from 1 species
AAAGAGUCUGCAAUUGCGCUCCUUUUGCCAAAGAUAUAAAUCCUAGGACGUUUAGGUCCUUUAAAUAGAGCAAAACAGAACAGAAAACAAAGUCUGGCCCAUGUCGCUGGCACUCAAGUGCCCCAUUUAGGGCACCCAGGCGGUGAGCGGCAGUCUUUGACACUUAAGCCUCCAGAAUAGUGCCCAAGUUUCGUGCCUUCGACGCUCAAGCGCCCCAAAGGGGCGCCCGGGCGGUGAGCGACACUCUUCUGC